UGACGGGGAUCAAUGCAGUGCUGCGAUUGGCUCCUUAUAAAGGCUUUGUAGCCAAUGACCUGCCCCAUCUGUCUAUAGACUUGUUGCUGGAAGGUGUUUUCCAGUUGAGAUCCCUGGGAGGACUAUUAUGGGAUGUGUUCGACUAUGAUAUGCCUUACAAAACAAAUCUGAUGAGUCAUAGGUUCAUCCACAUUGGUGACACCGGCAGCAUGCAUAUUUCAAAGUAUGUGAGACUAUGAAUGCCUGAUUCGCCCUCCUUGCCUACAUCAAGUUGCAGAUCUAAUUGUCACUGAAGCAAUUAACCUGAGACUUUGAGCUGUAUCUCUAAGCAUUAAUGUGCAGUCUUCAAUACCUGCUUUCUACCCGUCUCGCCCACUGCUCCUUACUGCCAGGAUGGAGACAUUAGCAUACAGAUUGUAUGAUCGGCACACCUGGUGUUGUAUAUGAGCGUGCAUGUUUGUGUGUUCAUCCAUGCAUGAGUGGUGCGUCGGCGGAGCUAUGAAUGGGCAGAGAGGGGUGUGUUCUCGAGACACCAUAGCAGCAGUGAGAUGAGGACUGCCAUCUACUCCACUGCACGUCUGCUGUACUGAGGGAAGGAAAAAUCAGAAAGAGGGGCAAAAAGGAGUACAACCAGAAACUAUCCAGACGGCCUCAUCCAUCUUAAAACUCCAUUAGCAUUGAAUUUCUCCAGAGGAAAACAAAUCUUCAAGCCAGCUAUGGAGCAGAAGACAAAUGAGGGUCCAACCACCACUUCUCCUCAGAAGCACAUGAAGAACAGGUCCAAAUCCAUAGAUGAGAUGCAACAGUCGAAAAAGGCCUUUUCAUCACAAAAAUCACUCCCAGGCAGACCAGAGCUGGACAGAGUGAAGGAGUGUCCUGAUGCCUCUGACACCCCUUCAUCCUCCACUGAAGAACUAAAAUGAUAAAUAAAAGGAUGAGUCGGACAGUAAAAUUACCAUCAAGAUACAAGAUCGUCAUAAACACGUCAAGCAUAAAAUGUACAUACGUAUGUACACUGGAAAACAUACACAAUUACUGAUAAUAGUAAUUUAGAUUAGAAUAACAUGAAAGCAACGAAGGGAUGAAUUGAAAGAAAAUGUAUGAAAUGAGAGAUUUGAACACACACACACACACGUACUGAGACAAUCGCAUGUAAAGAAAUGGGCGUCCGUGAUAAUGCAUUUUCAUUGUACUGGGAGUGUCAUAUACAUACCAAAACUGAAUGUGUAUUAAAAAUAAAGUGAUGCUGUUGAGUGAGUC
rnacentral:lncRNA from 1 species